CAGUCGCCGCGGGAAUACGGAGGGUGCAAGCGUUAUCCGGAUUCACUGGGUUUAAAGGGUGCGUAGGCGGGCAGGUAAGUCAGUGGUGAAAUCUUCGAGCUUAACUCGGAAACUGCCGUUGAUACUAUCUGUCUCGAAUAACGUUGAGGUGAGCGGAAUAUGUCAUGUAGCGGUGAAAUGCUUAGAUAUGACAUAGAACACCGAUUGCGAAGGCAGCUCACUAAACGCUCAUUGACGCUGAGGCACGAAAGCGUGGGGAUCAAACAGGAUUAGAUACCCGCGUAGUCCAGGUCUCUUAUAC
rnacentral:rRNA from 1 species